rnacentral:pre_miRNA from 15 species
AUAAGAGCUCCUAAAUGGACACUUAUAUAAUUUUGAUUGUUGCUCAGAAAGCCCUUAUAAAUUAUUAGCUGGCUUUCGAGCAAUAAUUGAAACCAAAUAAGUGAUCCUGACAACAUUUUAAGUG